UGAAGAAGGGGCCUGAGUUGCCUCGAAAGCUUGCAUAUUGUAAUCUUUCUAGUUAGCCAAUAAAAGGUGUCAUUUUGCUUGGCUUUUCUCUACAUUCAUAAUGGCUAACACGGUACAACACCCUAGUACUAGGCAAGCCGAAAACAACAGCUCCAUUUAUCGAACACAAGUCUUGGUUUUUAGCACGAGCGCAGCAUUUUCGAGCACAAACAAAAUAUGACAGAAAACAGCACGUAACAAGACAAAAUGAAUAUCUUCAGGCACAUGGAUACUAAUUAAAAACAAGUGUGAUUUACCCUUGAUCAGGAGGUGCUGGUGCUUUAUUCUAUUGGAGAACUUUGCUGUUGGAAGUUAUCUCUUUCUCUGUGGCUAACGUGUGAAUAUUUCGUACAGGACAAAGGCGUUCACUAAAGGAACCACUAAUAAAAAAGGACCUCCACACUGCAGUAAAAUGGUUGCGCCAACAUAGACGGUUGUUCAGAGGUGCCGUGUCUGAGCCCCAUUUUCUGGAGAUGGAGGAGGAGGACCAAAGCCGAGCUCUCCAGGACAUCAUCGAUGCAGUCGAAACUGAAGAUUUAAUUUUGGCAAAAGAACCCUUUGUAUUUAUUUUUCAGUUUAGGGAUGAUAUGGAACUUUUCACUCA